rnacentral:tRNA from 1 species
GGAUUUAGCUCAGUGGUAGAGCGCUUGCCUAGCAAGCACAAGGUCCUGGGUUCGGUCCCCAGCUCCA